rnacentral:misc_RNA from 1 species
GAUGAAGAACGCAGCGAAACGCGAUAUGUAAUGUGAAUUGCAGAAUUCAGUGAAUCAUCGAAUCUUUGAACGCACAUGGCGCCUUCCAGUAUCCUGGGAGGCAUGCCUGUCCGAGCGUCGUUUCAACCCUCGAGCCCCCGUGGCCCGGCGUUGGGGAUCUGCCACGGCAGGCCCCUAAAACCAGUGGCGGACCCGAAGGCCCUCUCCUUUGCGCAGUAGCAUCAGCCUCACAUUGGGAUCCCUCGGCGUCCUGCCUCUAAACCCCCCACAAGUCCGCUCCGGCGGCACCAAGGUUGACCUCGGAUCAGGUAGGAAUACCCGCUGAACUUAAGCAUAUCAAUAAGCGGAGGA